UACAGAGGUGGCAAGCGUUGUUCGGAAUUACUGGGCGUAAAGGGCGCGUAGGCGGCCUUCUAAGUCAGACGUGAAAUCCCCAGGCUUAACUUGGGAACUGCGUCUGAUACUGGGAGACUUGAAUGCGGGAGAGGGAUGUGGAAUUCCAGGUGUAGCGGUGAAAUGCGAAGAUAUCUGGAGGAACACCGGUGGCGAAGGCGGCAUCCUGGACCGACAUUGACGCUGAGGCGCGAAAGCCAGGGGAGCAAACGGG
rnacentral:rRNA from 1 species